UGAGCAACCUACCCUUCACUUCGGGAUAAGCCUCGGAAACGGGGUCUAAUACCGGAUAUCACUGCCCGCUUCAUGGUGGGUGGUUGAAAGUUCUGGCGGUGGGGGAUGGGCUCGCGGCCUAUCAGCUUGUUGGUGGGUAAUGGCCUACCAAGGCGUCGAUGGGUAGCCGGCCUGAGAGGGCGACCC
rnacentral:rRNA from 1 species